GGAUUCCCCUAGUAACUGCGAGUGAAGCGGGAAAAGCUCAAAUUUAAAAUCUGGCAGUCUCUGACUGUCCGAGUUGUAAUCUAGAGAAGCGUUAUCCGCGCUGGACCGUGUACAAGUCUCCUGGAAUGGAGCGUCAUAGAGGGUGAGAAUCCCGUCUUUGACACGGACUGCCAGGGCUUUGCGAUGCGCUCUCAAAGAGUCGAGUUGUUUGGGAAUGCAGCUCAAAAUGGGUGGUAAAUUCCAUCUAAAGCUAAAUAUUGGCGAGAGACCGAUAGCGAACAAGUACCGUGAGGGAAAGAUGAAAAGAACUUUGGAAAGAGAGUUAAACAGUACGUGAAAUUGCUGAAAGGGAAACGCUUGAAGUCAGUCGCGUUGGCCAGGGAUCAACCUUGCUCUUGCUUGGUGUACUUUCUGGUCUACGGGUCAGCAUCAAUUUUGAUCACUGGAAAAAGAUUAAGGGAAUGUGGCAUCUUCGGAUGUGUUAUAGCCCUUGGUUGCAUACAAUGGUUGGGAUUGAGGAACUCAGCACGCCGCAAGGCCGGGUUUUUAACCACGUACGUGCUUAGGAUGCUGGCAUAAUGGCUUUAAUCGACCCGUCUUGAAACACGGACCAAGGAGUCUAACAUGCCUGCGAGUGUUUGGGUGGAAAACCCGAGCGCGCAAUGAAAGUGAAAGUUGAGAUCCCUGUCGUGGGGAGCAUCGACGCCCGGACCAGACCUUUUGUGACGGUUCCGCGGUAGAGCAUGUAUGUUGGGACCCGAAAGAUGGUGAACUAUGCCUGAAUAGGGUGAAGCCAGAGGAAACUCUGGUGGAGGCUCGUAGCGAUUCUGACGUGCAAAUCGAUCGUCAAAUUUGGGUAUAGGGGCGAAAGACUAAUCGA
rnacentral:rRNA from 1 species